rnacentral:lncRNA from 1 species
UUCUGUCAUGAUGGCAUUGAAUGUAAAUAGUUCCAAUUACUGGUAAUUCUCAACUGUUUUGCAGAAAGAACAGUGUGGUAUGAUCCACGGGCUUUGUAAGGAAACAAGAUAAUAAAAGAAGGCUGAAGCUACAUAGACGCAGACCCUUGGGAGGAAAACAUCCUUCAGUUUACAAGCUUCAGGAUGAUUUUAACAGGCUGAAAUGUUGAUUUAAAGAACCAUGCCGACUUCAGGAGAAAGAAGAGCCUGAAGUUACAAAUGUUUGCAGACCUACCAAGUAUAAUGGAACCGCAUGUUGUGACAAAUAUGACUCAUCCAGGAGUAGAAAUCCCUGUCUCUUCUAGACUCCCGCUCAGAGGAGUUGACUGACGGAAUCAAGUUUUCCUUUGGAAGAGGGAAGAAUGACCCCGUGUGGCAAACAAGACGUAUACCAGGAAACGUUGAGAGAUGUGUCAGAGUGCAGUGGAAGCAAACUGGAGAAACGCUGCAUGACUCCUUCACUCCUGUAGAACUAGAAUGUGGUUUUGUGCAGAAGGGCUGCCCAUGCUCAUACAGAGCUUUGGAGGCCUUGGUAAAAUGAAAUGGGAAGCCA